AUGGAGGGCAAGGCGGGGCAGGUCGAGGCGAGGCGGUGGAGGAGCAUUCAGACGUUGGAUCCACGAAGAUGUGUAAAUAUCAGCGGGAAGUGUCAGCCAAUGCAAGAUGAAGAAAUGCGCAGCAGCCAACAUAUUGAUAUGUGCCACCGCACAGCCCGCAGGUUGCUAUCGCUGCAGUGAGAUCAGUCGGAGACGCUCCUGGUAAGAAAUCAACACAGGAGUCAGAAGACAAGUCGAGAAGGAAGCAGGACAACGACAAUCUGUUCUCAUCUAUGGUGAUGCCACACAAUGCAUCAUCAUCAUCAUCAUAAGCAGCAGCAGCCGCAGCGUCAUCACUUCGAGGUCAAGUAUUUCGCCCCUCGACGGUUAAGAUCCCUUCACUGUCUCCUGUUCUACGAGCGCGUGCUAAAGACCGUAAAUGAGCCUUUGGCUUUUUAUAUCGCAUGAUCGAGUAGCCUUCUGGGUAUCAAGCAAGAGCAGUCCAUCGUGAUAGUGAUGCGCAUGAGCGGGG